UUCUUUAUUUCUUCCGUCAGUGUAGCACUCAGCGCAAUGCAUUUAUGAAUAGAUAAGAGCUCAUUCACUGACAAUAGAGCGUGUGCUAUUGUUUAAUUUUAUCUGUUUUCUGGAACGCAGAAGGGGCAAGAAACGCUCCGCUUGCUUCCAAGUAUAAAACGCCAGAGCAGUUUCCGCACUUCACGCCGUUGCCGUGGAGGCAGAAGCGAAAACUCUCAAGCCUGCUAUCUUCGUCGCCCGUUAGCGUGGGACAUAGCAAAAGGACAUUCGCCAUGAAGUCCAACGUUAUCUUGGUCCUUUUCAUCCUGGGGCAUCUGUGCCAAAUUCACGCAGCCACGCUGAACAAGCCGGCAAAGAACACAGACGACGCAUCAAAACAGCUCACGGAAAACAUUUCCCGUUCACUCAUGGAGCACCGUGAAGACAUCAUCGAGGCUUUCAAGACACUCGAAAACUCUGUCGGCAGCUUCGGCGAUGAAACCGAUGAGCAGGCCAUUCCGGCCGUAAUUGUGGCUGUAGCGGGGGCCGUUGCAAACAGUGCUAUAUCCGGCGCUGUCGGGGCUCUUGUGGGGUCGUUAAUUAGCAAUAACUGAAUGCUUCCUCGGAGUCGUCUGCUUGUUAUCAGUACAAUAAAACGCAUUA